GAUGAAGAACGUAGCGAAAUGCGAUAAGUAAUGUGAAUUGCAGAAUUCAGUGAAUCAUCGAAUCUUUGAACGCACAUUGCGCCCGUCAGUAUUCUGGCGGGCAGGCCUGUUCGAGCGUCAUUACGCCCCUCAAGUCCCCUGUGGACUUGGUGUUGGGGAUCGGCGAGGCUGGUUUUCCAGCACAGCCGUCCCUUAAAUUAAUUGGCGGUCUCGCCGUGGCCCUCCUCUGCGCAGUAGUAAAACACUCGCAACAGGAGCCCGGCGCGGUCCACUGCCGUAAAACCCCCCAACUUUUUAUAGUUGACCUCGAAUCAGGUAGGACUACCCGCUGAACUUAAGCAUAUCAAUAAGCGGAGGA
rnacentral:misc_RNA from 1 species